UGGAAGGGUACUCAAGUGGAUAAAAGAGGGCGGUCUUGAAAACCGCUAGGCGUGUAAAAGCGUGCGUGGGUUCGAAUCCCACUCCUUCCGCCAC
rnacentral:tRNA from 1 species